AUGCUCGUCGUUGCCAUGGCACCGGUUCCGCUGAGCACCUUCGUGUCCUCCCCUGCGCGUCACCCUUGUUCCGAUUCGUAUCAUGGCCGUCGCCGGGGUGCCGUCUCUGCGUCGUCGUCCUCCUCCUCUGCUAAGGCGGAGGAAGUGGUCAUCGUGGGUGCGGGCAUCGCGGGUCUGGCCACCGCGCUCUCCCUGCGCCGGCUCGGCGUGAGCGCCACCGUGCUGGAGCAGGGCCCGUCCCUGCGCGCGGGCGGCACGUCGCUGACGCUGUUCAAGAACGGGUGGCGCGUGCUGGACUCCAUCGGCGUCGCCGACGAGCUCCGGGCCAAGUACCUCCGCGUCCAGGGGAUGAGGAUGCGGUCGUCGGCGGGCGGUCGUGACCUGCGCGAGUUCUCCUUCGAGGAAGAGGCUCCCGGGCAGGAGGUGCGGGCGGUAGAGAGGGGAGCGCUGCUCGCGGCGCUGGCCUCCAAGCUCCCGCCGGGCGCCAUCUCCUUCUCGUCCAGGCUCAAAUCCAUCGCCGGCCAAGGGCCCGAUGGCACCCUGCUGGAGCUCCAGGACGGGAGGCGGCUCCUGUCCAAAGUGGUGCUGGGCUGCGACGGCGUCAACUCCCCGAUCGCGAGGUGGAUGGGGUUCUCGGAGCCCCGGUACGUGGGGCACAUGGCGUUCCGUGGCCUCGCGGACUACGCUGGCGGGCAGCCGUUCGAGUCCAAGGUGAACUACAUCUACGGCCGGGGCGUCCGCGCCGGCUUCGUCCCGGUCUCCCCGACCAAAGUCUACUGGUUCAUCUGCUUCAACAGCGCAACCCCAGGGCCCAAGACCACGGAUGGCGCGGCGCUCAAGAGCGAGGCCCUGGGCCUGGUGCGGGGCUGGCCGGACGACCUCGUCGCCGUCAUGCGGAGCACGCCGGACGACGCCGUGGUGAAGACGCCCCUCGUGGACCGUUGGCUCUGGCCGGGGCUGGCGCCCCCGGCGUCCAGGGGCGGCGUGGUGCUCGUCGGCGACGCGUGGCACCCGAUGACGCCCAACCUCGGCCAGGGCGCGUGCUGCGCGCUCGAGGACGCCGUCGUCCUGGCGCGCCACCUCGCGCCCGCGGUGCUCGCGGGCGACGACGCCGGCGAGGCGUUGCGCAGGUACGAGAGCGAGAGGUGGGGGCGCGUGUUCCCACUGACGGCGCGCGCGGGGCUCGUCGGUGCGCUCGUGCAGUGGGGCAACCCGCUGGUGUGCGCGGCGCGGGACGGCGUGGUCAUCCCGAGGUUGGUCAGGCUGGGGCCGUUCCUCGAGCACACCAACUUCGAGUGUGGCCUGCUCGAGCCGGCGGCGCCGUCGACAUGA
rnacentral:rRNA from 1 species